rnacentral:rRNA from 1 species
UUGAGUUUGAUCCUGGCUCAGGACGAACGCUGGCGGCGUGCCUAAUACAUGCAAGUCGAGCGGAAUGAUGAAGAAGCUUGCUUCUUCUGAUUUUAGCGGCGGACGGGUGAGUAACACGUGGGCAACCUACCUUGUAGAUUGGGAUAACUCCGGGAAACCGGGGCUAAUACCGAAUAAUCCAUUUUGCUUCAUGGCGAGAUGUUAAAAGGCGGCUUCGGCUGUCACUACGAGAUGGGCCCGCGGCGCAUUAGCUAGUUGGUAGGGUAAUGGCCUACCAAGGCGACGAUGCGUAGCCGACCUGAGAGGGUGAUCGGCCACACUGGGACUGAGACACGGCCCAGACUCCUACGGGAGGCAGCAGUAGGGAAUCUUCCACAAUGGACGAAAGUCUGAUGGAGCAACGCCGCGUGAGUGAAGAAGGUUUUCGGAUCGUAAAACUCUGUUGUAAGGGAAGAACACGUACGAGAGUAACUGCUCGUACCUUGACGGUACCUUAUUAGAAAGCCACGGCUAACUACGUGCCAGCAGCCGCGGUAAAAU